rnacentral:rRNA from 1 species
AUGGCUCAGGAUGAACGCCAGCGACAGGCUAACACAUGCAAGUCGAGGGGCAGCAUAGAAGUAGCAAUACUUGGUGGCGACCGGCGCACGGGUGAGUAACGCGUAUGCAACCUACCUAUCAGUGGGGAAUAACCCGGCGAAAGUCGGACUAAUACCGCAUAAAACAGGGGCACCGCAUGGUGAUAUUUGUUAAAGAAAUUCGCUGAUAGAUGGGCAUGCGUUCCAUUAGGUAGUUGGUGAGGUAACGGCUCACCAAGCCGACGAUGGAUAGGGAACUGAGAGGUUGGUCCCCCACACUGGUACUGAGACACGGACCAGACUCCUACGGGAGGCAGCAGUGAGGAAUAUUGGUCAAUGGGCGGGAGCCUGAACCAGCCAAGUCGCGUGAAGGAAGAAGGAUCUAUGGUUCGUAAACUUCUUUUGCAGGGGAAUAAAGUGCAGGACGUGUCCUGUUUUGUAUGUACCCUGAGAAUAAGGAUCGGCUAACUCCGUGCCAGCAGCGGC